rnacentral:rRNA from 1 species
UGGGGAAUAUUGGACAAUGGGGGCAACCCUGAUCCAGCAAUGCCGCGUGAGUGAUGAAGGCCUUCGGGUUGUAAAGCUCUUUUGGCGGGGACGAUGAUGACGGUACCCGCAGAAUAAGCCCCGGCUAACUUCGUGCCAGCAGCCGCGGUAAUACGAAGGGGGCAAGCGUUGUUCGGAAUUACUGGGCGUAAAGGGCGCGUAGGCGGUCUAUCAAGUCAGGCGUGAAAUUCCCGGGCUCAACCUGGGGGCUGCGCUUGAUACUGAUGGACUUGAAUGCGGGAGAGGAUAGUGGAAUUCCCAGUGUAGAGGUGAAAUUCGUAGAUAUUGGGAAGAACACCAGUGGCGAAGGCGGCUAUCUGGCCCGUGAUUGACGCUGAGGCGCGAAAGCGUGGGGAGCAAACAGG